rnacentral:rRNA from 1 species
UGCAUUAGCUAGUUGGUAAGGUAACGGCUUACCAAGGCAACGAUGCAUAGCCGACCUGAGAGGGUGAUCGGCCACACUGGAACUGAGACACGGUCCAGACUCCUACGGGAGGCAGCAGUAGGGAAUCUUCCGCAAUGGGCGAAAGCCUGACGGAGCAACGCCGCGUGAGUGAUGAAGGUCUUCGGAUCGUAAAACUCUGUUAUUAGGGAAGAACAUAUGUGUAAGUAACUGUGCACAUCUUGACGGUACCUAAUCAGAAAGCCACGGCUAACUACGUGCCAGCAGCCGCGGUAAUACGUAGGUGGCAAGCGUUAUCCGGAAUUAUUGGGCGUAAAGCGCGCGUAGGCGGUUUUUUAAGUCUGAUGUGAAAGCCCACGGCUCAACCGUGGAGGGUCAUUGGAAACUGG